UGGAGCAGCCGAGUGAAAGUCUGUCUCCUCAUUAGUCAUUGGAGUGGGCUUGCCUGAUCAGGCUGGCUAAGUGAAUUUUUCAUCUCUCCUCACAACGUGUUUCUGCAAGCCUCACAAAGCUGCAUCCUGAGACGAGGAGCACCAUGCUCUGUGUCAGGCACAGUAGUGUCUCCUUCUGGAUUCUCCAAGUAAGAUUAAAGUCCACUUGUAGAACACAGAGAAGCCAAGCCUCCAAGUCUCGAGACACAUCCAAAUGAAGGUAUGUAUACUGCAAUUUGCCUUUCAUU
rnacentral:snRNA from 1 species